CUCCAUUGAAUGUCAGGUACAGAAUCUCUGAAGGUACUUAGUUAUCUGUUUGAUUUUCGGUUUCAAAUUUCAAUCUUUGCAAUUAAUUUGAUCGAGUACCUUUAUUUUCGCUGUUCUAAGUAAUGAUUAUUUGAUUCUGAUCAUGUCUAUUCAUUAAAAUUCAAAUGGAUUGAACUGCUUCGCCGUGGGGGGUGAAGAAAUACAGGAACCCUUCCACUUAGAGACACGUUAAUGGCAUGAUUGAUGAAAUGACUAUUCCAUGUACAAUUUUUGUUUUGGAUAUGAAGCAUGCAAGUUUAAAUGACAAAUUUGUGCAGUGGAUCUUGUGAAAUUGAUAUGACAAAUUUGUGAACUAGGUUUUGUGAAAUUGAAAUCACAAAUUUGUCUAUUAAGUAAUUUUGUUUUUGUUAAUGUUUCACUUACUGGUACCCUAAAUUGUUGUCUAUGGAGGGCUGAUUUGUAUGGCCGCAGAUAGACAUAAUUUAGAUAAAAUAAUAUUUGGCCAACAGAUGAUUACAUUAAUACUUUUUUGUGAUAUAUGAAACCCAAUGAGCACUGCAACAGCUACCCGCUUUAACUCUUCCCUUGUCUCGCCCUUUAAAACUUUCACGAUUCUCGUAGGUUUUCUUAAAUAUUACAGUUUUAGGCACUGUCUCUUUCUUUGACUCUUUUUCCUUUUAAUUUGUUUUCAUGAUGUAAAUGCCUGAAUUUGAGCUUCUAUGGUCAGUUUUUUUCUCUUGUGAAGGAUUUAUCUGUGCUUUUAUGGGUUUAUUUAAGUGAUUUGAGCUCUCGAUUGUUGCUUGUGAUUGGCCUUUUUCAUGAAUAAUUGAUCUUUUUUUCUUUUUUUUUUUUUUUUUUUUUUUGGUUGUCUUGAAUUUUUUGUAUCAUUAUUUAUGGGAUCAUAUGUCAUGUUUUUACUUUUCGUGUAAUAUACAGAUUUUUCUCAUAAGUUGACCUUUUUUUUAAUUAAAAUUUCAACACCACCAAACAUAUUGUUCUAUGUCUGCCCCUGAGUCUCUUAUAUUAAGCAUGAAGCGAUCCACAAAAAUUGAAUUUAGAGAAGAUCGAAUUUAUGAAAUUUAAAGUUACAUAAAGGGCUAGGUGAGGAUUUUGGGGGACAGAAUGGCAUCUUAUAUCACUUGAUCCUGCUCCGCUCGCACCAUUUUGUUUUGCUUAACUGGGUCCUUUUGUGUUCAUGUAGGCACUGAACUUUGCCAUAUUUCAGAAUUUUAUCAACCUUACGGGGGCUCAGCAGUUGUUUAUCUUAUUGGCAGUUUGUAGAUCCUUAAAUGAACAAUGUCGUAGAUUUGCUGAAUAAUGCAUAUUAGGAGUUUAUUGCAGCAGCAGCCAGCUUUCUGGAAUCAAAAGAAAACUCCAGUGGCCAGUGAUGCUGCCCUAGAGAAUUUUAAGCAACGAUAAGAAUUGUUCAGAGUUGCUUGUGAUGAAGCAGAAGAGUUUGUGGAAUCCAUGAAGCAAAGAAUAGGGUCUGAGUGUCUAGUGGAUGAGGCCACUGGCUCGGUUUCUCAGAAAUCCAGACUAGUGUUCCACCUAUCGGUGCUGCUCGAUUGGAACAAAUGAGUAAAGCAGUCAAAUGGCUGGUGAUUGAAUUGCAACGAGGUUCUGGAACUGGAGGUGGUUCAUCGCAACCCCACCCUACAGCUCCUUUUGAUGCUCGAUUCACUGAAGAUGUUGGUCAAUAGGUAUUCCAAACUCUAUACAAUGUGGUGGAGGUUGUGAACCUGAAAAUUCUGCAUCAUAGCUUAGUCAGCCAGGGAGCUGAUAAAUUUUUUAAAUUUUAAGUUUUUAGUAAAAGGCACAUAUCUUCUUCAUAGUAUCCAAGUAAAUUUUUGAAGCUGAUAAUCAAUUAUCAGAGAAAAACAGUUAAUUCAUUUUUAGGAGAUGAAGAUUGAGUCCUGUUGAAAUAGAGUUCAGAAUUGAUCUAAGCAUUUUUAUUUUUUUUUGACAAGGGAACCCGCAGCUGCUACCCGAAGGUGCGCACUAGGUAAACCCCGCCUUGUGAUCCUUUCCGGCAAAAGACCACAAGGAGGUAAACCAGCCUAGGUUACCCAUAGCUAACCGGCUCAAAUCAAGAAGGCCAAUAGGCAGCUCCAACGGGAAUCGAACUAGCAACCUCACAAUUGCUAGUCCAACUGCCCUACCAACUUGGCUGGGGUUGCCCCCUAGAAUUGAUCUUAGCAUUGACAUUAUAACUGGAGGUCCAAAGCCAAAGAUACUCCCUACAAUUUCACCAGUCAAUGACACCAGCACCAUUUUCAGAAAAGAGGAAUUCAUGGCUACUGUGUUCAUCUUUGCAGGAAAGAAUGUUUCCACUCCGAUUAUGUACUUUUGACAUUGACAAGCCUCUGAGAAAACAGACUUUAGGAAGGCGACGAAUUAUAUUCUGCCCAAUGUUUAAGUGAAAGUGAAAGUAAUGAGCACCCCUCUCUCUCUCUCUUCAGGGUACCUCUUCUUUUCGUUGCUAUGGAGCACUUACUAAUGUACUCCAAGAAUCCACAGCAUUCUUUCUGUGUUAAUUUGUCUUGCAAGCGUGAUUUUUGAUGUAAUCGUGCUGGAAUUAAAGAUGUUAACUUUUCUGCUGAACUGGGCUAUACAAAAAGUUGAAAGCCACUCCCGACACAGCUUGUCUGGAAUGACAGAGAGUCGUGGCACUAGCUCGACUGAAGUUUACUCCGUGAUAUAAUCUUUUUAUUUUUCCUUUUUUUGGAUCGGGUAAAUAAAUUGUAUUGAUCAAAAUUUUGAGUACAACUGCUCCGAGUAUGCCUGGGCAUACAAAAUAAGACAUUACAAUGACUACUGAUCCAAAACAAGUGAUUGAGCAUGAAUCAAAACAUUACAACUUCUGCUAAUCGAAUACACGAAGUACAAAGCUGCUGGCCGGUUUCAAAUUCUCUUAGAGGAGAUACAAAUCGAAUCUUUCAAUAACAGUUCAUAACCAUGCUGGCCGAACUUCAC
rnacentral:lncRNA from 1 species